UACGUAGGGGGCAAGCGUUGUCCGGAAUCAUUGGGCGUAAAGAGCGCGUAGGCGGCCCUGUAAGUCCGCUGUGAAAGUCAAGGGCUCAACCCUUGAAUGCCGGUGGAUACUGCAGGGCUAGAGUCCGGAAGAGGUGAGUGGAAUUCCUGGUGUAGCGGUGAAAUGCGCAGAUAUCAGGAGGAACACCGAUGGCGAAGGCAGGUCUCUGGGACGGUACUGACGCUGAGACGCGAAAGCGUGGGGAGCGAAUGGG
rnacentral:rRNA from 1 species